GUGCCCGAUUUUGGGUUUUUUUGACCCAUUUUGCCCAACCAGAAGACGGGAGACCCAACCAGUGGUGUUCUGGGGAAAAACCACAUUUUAGGAUCGCCCGAUUUUGGGGUUUUUUUCACCCCAUUUUUGGCCACUCAAGAGCCAGCACCUCCGGUAGAACGUUGACCAACCCAACCUCAACCCAACCAACGUUGGGUUCACCAUCAAACCAAAGCCAGGCCCACCCAUCUCCCUCAUUGGCAGCACCGAGGGCCGCGUGUCCGUCCGUCCGUCCGUCCGUCCGGAAAAAGAAGGAAAAAGAAGGAAGAGCUGCUGAUUAAAGGCUGAUGCUUCGAUGAUGCCGGAAUCGUCCUUUCCCACCCCGACUCCUCGCCGUCGUCGUUUCUUCCAUCUCCUCACCUUGGAGGCUGCUGGAAUCCGAAAGGCCGAGCAAAUGUUCGACCGAAUCGAAUUUCUGAAGGUCGGAAGCGAUGGUUUGAAGGCUCAAAACUGAAACUGAAUCGGAUGGGGGUCCUUCGGAGGCACCCCGGUGUGAGGAUUCGGCGCCGACCGGCGAAGCGCGGCGGAGGACGAGGCGGUGGAGGCGACGGGCGUGGAUCUGUUCACUGAUUUGCUCCAAAUUCCGGAGGGCUACGGAGUAACGGGUUUUGGCUUGGGCCACUCGAUGCUCCAGGGCUGUCACCUUGGAUUUGUGUUCCUUGGGAAGGAUGGGAUGGAGGGAGGUUAGAGGGGGAAGAUGGGGGGGAUGAGGUUGGGUCGGUCGCAUUUGGUGGGAUGGGUCAAAAAUUGGGGAUGUCGUGUGGUUGGGGUUGGGCAAAGUUGGGUUGGGUCGGUUCCAUCCUAUGGGAUGGGGUAAAAAAUGGAGAAAUUGGGGAUGUCCAAAGGUUGGGGUUGGACAAAGUUGGGUUGGGUCGGUUCCAUCCUAUGGGAUGGGGUUAAAAAUGGGGAAAUUGGGGACAUUCCAUCAUUGGGGUUGGGCAACGUUGGGUUGGGUCGGUUCCAUCCUAUGGGAUGGGGUUAAAAAUGGUGAAAUUGGGGACAUUCCAUCAUUGGGGUUGGUGGAAUUUGGGUUGGGUCGAUCCAAUCCUAUGGGAUGGGGUCAAAAAUGGGGAAAUUGGGGAUGUCCUGUGGUUGGGGUUGGUGUAAUUUGGGCUGGGUUGGUUCCAUCC
rnacentral:lncRNA from 1 species